UACGUAGGGGGCUAGCGUUGUCCGGAUUUAUUGGGCGUAAAGAGCGUGUAGGCGGCCAUGUAGGUCCGGUGUGAAAACUCGAGGCUUAACCUCGAGAUGUCAUCGGAAACCAUUUGGCUAGAGUCCGGAAGAGGAGAGUGGAAUUCCUGGUGUAGCGGUGGAAUGCGUAGAUAUCGGGAGGAACACCAGUGGCGAAGGCGGCUUCCUGGACCGGUUCUGACACUGAGGAGCGAAAGCGUGGGGAGCGAUCCGG
rnacentral:rRNA from 1 species